AUUGAACGCUAGCGGCAUGCUUAACACAUGCAAGUCGAGCGGCAGCGCGAGGAGCUUGCUCCUUGGCGGCGAGUGGCGGACGGGUGAGUAACGCGUAGGAAUCUACCUCGUAGUGGGGGACAACCCGGGGAAACCCGGGCUAAUACCGCAUAAUCUUUACGAAGCAAAGCAGGGGACCUUCGGGCCUUGUGCUAUGAGAUGAGCCUGCGUCGGAUUAGCUUGUUGGUGGGGUAAAGGCCUACCAAGGCGACGAUCCGUAGCUGGUCUGAGAGGAUGAUCAGCCACACUGGGACUGAGAUACGGCCCAG
rnacentral:rRNA from 1 species